UGGGGAAUUUUCCGCAAUGGGGGGAACCCUGACGGAGCAACGCCGCGUGCGGGAGGAAGGCCUGUGGGUUGUAAACCGCUUUUCUCUAGGAAGAAGGUCUGACGGUACUAGAGGAAUCAGCAUCGGCUAACUCCGUGCCAGCAGCCGCGGUAAUACGGAGGAUGCAAGCGUUAUCCGGAAUUAUUGGGCGUAAAGCGUCCGCAGGCGGCACUAUAAGUCUGCUGUCAAAGACCGCAGCUCAACUGCGGAAAGGCAGUGGAAACUGUAGAGCUAGAGUACGGUAGGGGUAGAGGGAAUUCCCAGUGUAGCGGUGAAAUGCGUAGAGAUUGGGAAGAACACCAGUGGCGAAAGCGCUCUACUGGGCCGUAACUGACGCUCAGGGACGAAAGCUAGGGGAGCGAAAGGGAUUAGAUACCCGCGUAGUCC
rnacentral:rRNA from 1 species